CCCUUAGAGUUUGAUCCUGGCUCAGGAUGAACGCUAGCUACAGGCUUAACACAUGCAAGUCGAACGGGAAAUAUUUCAUUGAGACUUCGGUGGAUUUGAUCUAUUUCUAGUGGCGGACGGGUGAGUAACGCGUGGGUAACCUGCCUUAUACAGGGGGAUAACAGUCAGAAAUGGCUGCUAAUACCGCAUAAGCGCACAGAGCUGCAUGGCUCAGUGUGAAAAACUCCGGUGGUAUAAGAUGGACCCGCGUUGGAUUAGCUUGUUGGUGGGGUAACGGCUCACCAAGGCGACGAUCCAUAGCCGGCCUGAGAGGGUGAACGGCCACAUUGGGACUGAGACACGGCCCAGACUCCUACGGGAGGCAGCAGUGGGGAAUAUUGCACAAUGGGGGGAACCCUGAUGCAGCGACGCCGCGUGAAGGAAGAAGUAUCUCGGUAUGUAAACUUCUAUCAGCAGGGAAGAUAGAGACGGUACCUGACUAAGAAGCCCCGGCAAUUAC
rnacentral:rRNA from 1 species